AAUCCAUAGGUUAAUGAGGCGAACCGGGGGAACUGAAACAUCUAAGUACCCCGAGGAAAAGAAAUCAACCGAGAUUCCCCCAGUAGCGGCGAGCGAACGGGGAGGAGCCCAGAGCCUGAAUCAGCAUGUGUGUUAGUGGAAGCGUCUGGAAAGGCGCGCGAUACAGGGUGACAGCCCCGUACACAAAAGCGCAUGUGCUGUGAGCUCGAUGAGUAGGGCGGGACACGUGGUAUCCUGUCUGAAUAUGGGGGGACCAUCCUCCAAGGCUAAAUACUCCUGACUGACCGAUAGUGAACCAGUACCGUGAGGGAAAGGCGAAAAGAACCCCGGCGAGGGGAGUGAAAAAGAACCUGAAACCGUGUACGUACAAGCAGUGGGAGCCCCACCACCAAAGCAUUUGCUGUACCGCGUUGACGGAGCGAAGCGACGUCAAACCGAUAAAACAGCAGUGUAAAGUGAGCCGCAGGGCGCUUUGCGCGACAGCGCAAAGGCAGGCGGUUUCGCGUAGCGAAAGCGAAUGCUUUGGGGUGGGGUGACUGCGUACCUUUUGUAUAAUGGGUCAGCGACUUAUAUUCUGUAGCAAGGUUAACCGAAUAGGGGAGCCGGAGGGAAACCGAGUCUUAAUUGGGCGUUAAGUUGCAGGGUAUAGACCCGAAACCCGGUGAUCUAGCCAUGGGC
rnacentral:rRNA from 1 species